GGUGGUGCGCUCACCUGCAUCCUUCAAGGCUGCGGCCUGGUAACACAAAAGCCGUGCUGCCUCGAUCUCAGUGGCCAUGUCCGCCAGCAUGAACUGAAUGGCCUGGAAAUCGGAGAUGGUCUUGCCGAAGGCGGUGCGCUGCUUGGCGUAAUCCCGAGCGGCCUCGUACGCGCCGCGCGCGAUUCCGAGUGAGAGUGCUCCAAUCGAGAUUCGUCCGCCAUCGAGAACCUUCAUG
rnacentral:misc_RNA from 1 species